AGCGAACGCUGGCGGCAGGCCUAACACAUGCAAGUCGAACGAACUCUUCGGAGUUAGUGGCGGACGGGUGAGUAACACGUGGGAACGUGCCUUUAGGUUCGGAAUAACUCAGGGAAACUUGUGCUAAUACCGAAUGUGCCCUUCGGGGGAAAGAUUUAUCGCCUUUAGAGCGGCCCGCGUCUGAUUAGCUUGUUGGUGAGGUAAAGGCUCACCAAGGCGACGAUCAGUAGCUGGUUUGAGAGGAUGAUCAGCCACAUUGGGACUGAGACACGGCCCAAACUCCUACGGGAGGCAGCAGUGGGGAAUCUUGCGCAAUGGGCGAAAGCCUGACGCAGCCAUGCCGCGUGAAUGAUGAAGGUCUUAGGAUUGUAAAAUUCUUUCACCGGGGACGAUAAUGACGGUACCCGGAGAAGAAGCCCCGGCUAACUUCGUG
rnacentral:rRNA from 1 species